rnacentral:rRNA from 1 species
CCUACGGGAGACAGCAGUCGAGAAUCAUUCACAAUGGGGGAAACCCUGAUGGUGCGACGCCGCGUGGGGGAAUGAAGGUCUUCGGAUUGUAAACCCCUGUCAUGUGGGAGCAAAUUAAAAAGAUAGUACCACAAGAGGAAGAGACGGCUAACUCUGUGCCAGCAGCCGCGGUAAUACAGAGGUCUCAAGCGUUGUUCGGAAUCACUGGGCGUAAAGCGUGCGUAGGCUGUUUCGUAAGUCGUGUGUGAAAGGCGCGGGCUCAACCCGCGGACGGCACAUGAUACUGCGAGACUAGAGUAAGGGAGGGGGAACCGGAAUUCGCGGUGUAGCAGUGAAAUGCGUAGAUAUCGAGAGGAACACUCGUGGCGAAGGCGGGUUCCUGGACAUUAACUGACGCUGAGGCACGAAGGCCAGGGGAGCGAAAGGGAUUAGAUACCCCAGUAGUC